UUGGCAUAUUUGGUUGACCAUGGGAAAGUGACAAAUUUCCAAGGUGAUUAUGUUUGGUUGGCCAUCCACUUUCUUAGGAAAGUUAUAUAUAAUUCCUAUUAUGCCCUUAAUAAAAAUUAGAUUUUUAAUGCCUCUUUAAUGCUUCUUUAAUGCUGAAGGGACUUUUUGGGAAAAAGUAAAAAUGGAGUGAUUCCCGCCUCAUGGGAAAGUAACUUUCCCAUGUUUCUCAUGGGAAAGACUUUCCCAUGAAAUGUGGGAAUCACAUUCCCAUGGGAAUACAACUUUUCCUUAUCUCUCCUUUGAAAACUCCAACCAAACAAGAGGCAUCUCAUUACUUUUCCGUUGACCACACUUUCCCCCCUUCUUUUCCCGCGAACCAAACGAGCCCUUA
rnacentral:lncRNA from 1 species